GUGAGCUUAACUGGCAGUUCUGGGGGCACCGGGUGGGAAGCAUGGCUUUCCCUGCCGGCGACCGGCGCACGGGUGAGUAACACGUAUGCAACCCGCCCUUCUUUCAGGGGGACAACCUUCCGAAAGGGAGGCUAAUCCCGCGUAUAUCGGUUUCGGGCAUCCGGGAUCGAGGAAAGAUUCAUCGGAAGAGGAUGGGCAUGCGGCGCAUUAGCUCGACGGCGGGGUAACGGCCCACCGUGGCGACGAUGCGUAGGGGUUCUGAGAGGAAGGUCCCCCACACUGGUACUGAGACACGGACCAGACUCCUACGGGAGGCAGCAGUGAGGAAUAUUGGUCAAUGGGAGAGAUCCUGAACCAGCCAAGCCGCGUGAGGGAAGACGGCCCUAUGGGUUGUAAACCUCUUUUGUCGGAGAACAAAACCCGGGACGAGUCCCGGACUGCGUGUAUCCGAAGAAAAAGCAUCGGCUAACUCCGUGCCAGCAGCCGCGGUAAUACGGAGGAUGCGAGCGUUAUCCGGAUUUAUUGGGUUUAAAGGGUGCGUAGGCGGUCCGUUAAGUCAGCGGUAAAAUUGCGGGGCUCAACCCCGUCGAGCCGUUGAAACUGGCAGACUUGAGUUGGCGAGAAGUACGCGGAAUGCGCGGUGUAGCGGUGAAAUGCAUAGAUAUCGCGCAGAACUCCGAUUGCGAAGGCAGCGUACCGGCGCCAGACUGACGCUGAGGCACGAAAGCGUGGGGAUCGAACAGGAUUAGA
rnacentral:rRNA from 1 species